CUCAAGGCCAAGUUGUUGAUGCGUAUGUUGCCUAUCUUGCAAUGAACUACUUCGAUCGCUAUGCUUCUUCCACGAAUCCAUUUGCAGUUGGGCUAGGCUCUUCUGUAACUGAUACAGUUUGUUUCGUUGCAACCUGUUGCUUCAUGCUUUCCGCUAAGAUGAGGUCAAACCAAUUCGAUCUCCAACAGUUUCUGGUAAACAAACCUAUGCCAGUCUCACACUUUACACUGAGAAACUAACUCACAUUUAAUUGUAAGCUCAUAUUCUUUUAAUACGCCACUACAUGCACUGAUUCGUUGCACAGUUCGAGAAAGAUUUGAAUUACCAGCCUACUAGGUUAGCGGCAAUGGAACUUAGCAUUCUCAGUGGCCUUAACUGGCGAAUGCUACCUAUAACUCCGUUUUACUUCCUAGAUCACUAUUACCCCACCUUCAGCGAAAUCGGUGGUUUCAAACGCCGAUCGAUCAAUGAGAUCAUAGUCCAGUCUCAAGGAGUGCACCAAUUCACUGAAUUCAAACCUUCUCAUAUUGCAAUAUCCGCUUUUCUAGCUGCCACUUUCGUUGGAUAUCCCUCAGAGUUUAAUGCAAUUCAAAAAUCACUUGACAAACCGG